rnacentral:rRNA from 1 species
CUUUAUUGGAGAGUUUGAUCCUGGCUCAGGAUGAACGCUGGCGGCGUGCCUAAUACAUGCAAGUCGAGCGAAUGGAUUGAGAGCUUGCUCUCAAGAAGUUAGCGGCGGACGGGUGAGUAACACGUGGGUAACCUGCCCAUAAGACUGGGAUAAC